CCGGCACGGGUGAGUAACGCGUAUCCAACCUUCCCAUUACUGUGGGAUAACCUGCCGAAAGGCAGACUAAUACCGCAUAGUCUUCGAUGACGGCAUCAGAUUUGAAGUAAAGAUUUAUCGGUAAUGGAUGGGGAUGCGUCUGAUUAGCUUGUUGGCGGGGUAACGGCCCACCAAGGCAACGAUCAGUAGGGGUUCUGAGAGGAAGGUCCCCCACAUUGGAACUGAGACACGGUCCAG
rnacentral:rRNA from 1 species